UACGAGGGGGGCGAGCGUUGUUCGGAAUGACUGGGCGUAAAGGGCGCGUAGGCGGCUGUGACAGUCAGAUGUGAAAUUCCUGGGCUCAACCUGGGGGCUGCAUUUGAUACGUGAUGGCUGGAGUGGGGAAGAGGGUCGUGGAAUUCCCAGUGUAGAGGUGAAAUUCGUAGAUAUUGGGAAGAACACCGGUGGUGUAAACGGCUUUCUGGACCAUAACUGACGCUGAUGCACGAAAGCGUGGGUAGCAAACAGG
rnacentral:rRNA from 1 species